AGGGACGGAGGUCGGAUCUCCCUUCCCCGGGCUGGGCCGGGGAGGGGCAGCCAUGCAGUAGGCCUGGGCCUGGACAGAGAUGGGAGCUUGCAAAGAGGCUGAUCCUCCUUGGAGCUGAAUAAGACGGGAGAUAAGAGAUGAGAUGAGACAAGGACCUGGCCCAAAGGACGUGGAGAAGGCUUGCUGAGUGGGGAGAGAUGAUUGGAGUGGCCUUUUGGCUGGACUUUUCUUGUGUAGCCAUAGACUGAACCAGUUUUAUUCCUGUGACACAGAGACUGCAUUUAGGGGGAGGCAGUGCCUCAGAACCAGGAGGGUUCAUUGUGGGGACCCCUCGGCCCCAGGGGGUUGGAUAAAAAUGGGGGGGGGACAGAUGUCCCAAAGCAGAGACUGUGCCUUUUUGGAAUGAGACAAGGCAUCCUUAAAAGACAACCCUAAAAGCAGCUCUGGUCCAUGCCAGUGGUGAGAGCACUGGGCAUGGAAGGAAGAUGUCACAAGCGGCAAAAGGACUUUCCGGGCGGUGCUGAGUGACAGGGAAGCACAUGAGGUUUCAGUGUGUUUCCAGGGGAAGCCUAUGGUGCAAGAAAGACUCCUCUCCUCUUCAUGGACUGAAGUUUGAAUAUCCAAAAGGGUGGUGCCAGACUGGGCAGUUGGUGAAUUUGGGGGGAAUGUAUCGGAUUGGGAAAUUUUGGUGGUGGGGAGGAGGAAAGUGUUUUUUGUAAGGUUUUCAAUUUUUUUCUCUUAUAGUUUUUUUCCUUCUUUCUUUUCUUGUACUUUAGGUAAUAAAGUUUUCUUUAUGUUUAA